rnacentral:rRNA from 1 species
CGUAGGACCCAAGCGUUAUCCGGAGUGACUGGGCGUAAAGAGUUGCGUAGGUGGUUUGUAAAGCGAAUAGUGAAAUCUGGCGGCUCAACCGUACAGGCUAUUAUUCGAACUCACAAACUCGAGAAUGGUAGAGGUAACUGGAAUUUCUUGUGUAGGAGUGAAAUCCGUAGAUAUAAGAAGGAACACCAAUGGCGUAGGCAGGUUACUGGACCAUUUCUGACACUGAGGCACGAAAGCGUGGGGAGCGAACCGGAUUAGAUACCCGGGUAGUCCACGCCGUAAACGAUGGAUACUAGCUGUUGGAGGUAUCGACCCCUUCAGUAGCGAAGCUAACGCGUUAAGUAUCCCGCCUGUGGAGUACGGUCGCAAGACUA